GGUGAUUGCCACUAUGUUUCUGGGUUUUCCAGGUGAAACAGGGCUUUACCUCUCCCUAUCUACACAAUACUAGUUAAAUAUGCAAGAAUGGACCCUUUUAAGCAGCAAACAUGCUAUAUCCCAAAUUAAUUAGCUCCAUCUACAUAGCCAGCCACUGUUCUAGGAAAACAUAAUUGCAUUGGCCUUUUUGUUGUUUCAACACGCCUAAUCUCAUCAUUAUGUGAUAAGGUUGGGGGGAGAUGUGGAGGACCUGGAAGAGAGAACAUAAUUCUAGCGUCCAUAAUUAAGUUUAUUAAGAGCAGCACAUCAUGGUGGUGACCUGGGAGGUUAAUUAGAUUGUAGAGGAUGGGUGUAUCGGCACGAGGAGACAACACAGCGGUCGACUAAAACCUCCGGGCCAGAUCAGGCACAACUAAGAUGGAUACGGGCCGCAACAGGGCCAGAUCAAAUAUGGAGUCCGCCGGCCAAAAGGAGGGGUAGGGGACUACUCAGGUGUCUUUUUAUUCUUCUUGUGUGUAUUUUACUUCAUACCAUUAAUGCCUACAACUGACAUGUAAUCAGCAGUUGCAGAUUAUUUUAAAUAAUUACCUCUAUACAGGCACACAAGCAGUGCAUGCAGUAGGAAUUGCGCACUGUGCAGGUGUGGUGAAAAAACUUUGAUAGCCAGUUUUCAAGAGGACUUCAUUAAAAUAAUAGGACAAAUAACAAGAAAUAGAAAAUAAAUGAAGAAAAUACUAGGGUAACAAUAUCUAGGCCACAUUUAAAUGUUCAGGUAUACUGAAUUUAUAAUCCACUGACACCAUGAUGACCAUGAUUACUACAAUGAGUAAAAGUAAAUGUUAAACAUACACCAAUAAUGAAAACACACACAUAGAUAGAGUGUUCUCAUAGUUUGCAUGCAUAGGAAUGUGAAAGGUUUAACCAGAAAAAAGGAGUUUCAAGGAAGCAAUUUGGUGAUAGGCCAUGGAGAAUAGCACAGCUGAACAUUUCUGUUACUUUGCCUUUUAACCAUUUUACCUGAAAUGUUCGAUUAUGUUUGUAAACAUUAAUACAAGAAGUUUAACAGACAUGUAACAUGUAAACUAACCAAGAAAAACAAAGAAA